rnacentral:rRNA from 1 species
CGCGUAGGUGGUUUGUUAAGUCAGAUGUGAAAGCCCCGGGCUCAACCUGGGAACUGCAUUUGAUACUGGCGAGCUAGAGUAUGGUAGAGGGAAGUGGAAUUCCGGGUGUAGCGGUGAAAUGCGUAGAUAUCCGGAAGAACACCAGUGGCGAAGGCGGCUUCCUGGACCAAUACUGACGCUGAGGUGCGAAAGCGUGGGGAGCAAACA